rnacentral:lncRNA from 1 species
AAAUCCAGGAUCUGUUUAUUCUUUGGAGACAGUUUUUUAAAAAAAAAAACCCAAAACAGGUUAUUACUGCUAAUAGAGCUACAAAAAUGAUCCUUUAUUACUUAGAACAUUCCAUGCAGAAAAUUGCCUUUCUGACUCGCUUGGGAGCUCUGCUGUUUGCCUUCCCUUGGUACAGACGGUGUUCCUGGGUGUGCCUGUUUUAAACUUGGGCCUGACAGCAAAAACAUCCUCCUGCUGAACUGGUUAGAAGGUCGACCUAACCUAGUGUCCUGUCUCCAGCAGCUGCCAGUGAUGGGGGGCUAGAAAACAAGGUUGAAGAAGUGAAAGAUGUGUGUUGUGGUCUUUUCCCUGGGAUACCUUCUCAACUUUGGGCAAAAAAAGGCAACUAGACCAUAAUGUUUAACAGGGGUUACAUAGAGCUAUGAGGCCACAUCGGUGCUGUUGAGUGUGGCUUGGGUGUCUGCUGCCUUUGAACCAGCUUCAGACGGACGUGGGUCUUGAGCGGCAGCAGGGAGACGGUGUUGCUUGGAGCGCGGCUGGAGCUGCUCUGUGACCUGAGGAGGAAGGUGAAUGCAUCUUCUGCUCUGUCCGUGUGCCAAAGUGCCAUGCGCUAAUGGAGACAGAAAAUAGCUCUGUCUGGAGAGAGCUUCUGAAGGAGUCUCACAUGGACACCUUGGGUCUACAGUCCCAGGUCUUGUCAUUGUCCUUUGGACCAAAUGGUGGUAAGAAGUACCUCAUAACUAAUGCACUUUGGAGCCUGUUGGGAUGGAUGAGGCUAGCAUUGGAUGAAGUCACUAUCUGUUAGUGAGCUAUGGACCAGGUUAUGAUGAUACUGGAUUGGUUUUACAAGAGGAUAUUAUUACCCAGUACUGAGAAACUUAGUUUCAUGCUGAAAAAGCAGUUCAACCCUCACCAAGAAGUCACUAACCAAUGUUAGCCGUAACAGUAACUAGUAAUUGUAUUUGUGAAUGAAUCAAAAAGAUUUGAGUCAUUCUUGU